UACGGAGGGUGCAAGCAUUAAUCGGAUUUAUUGGGCGUAAAGGGCGCGUAGGCGGGGAGGUAAGUCGGGUGUGAAAUCCCUCGGCUCAACCGAGGAACUGCGCCCGAGACUGCUUCUCUUGAGUCCCGGAGAGGAAGGUGGAAUUCCCGGUGUAGCGGUGAAAUGUGUAGAGAUCGGGAGGAACACCGGUGGCGAAGGCGGCCUUCUGGACGGUGACUGACGCUGAGGCGCGAAAGCGUGGGGAGCAAACGGG
rnacentral:rRNA from 1 species